UGUCAAGUAGAUCAGUUCUGAGGCUUUCCAAUGAAUGUGACCUGGUAACAGUUUUUAAAAUCAGAAUUAGGAAAUAUAUUACCCAGAGACUGUAACUGUUCCAAGAAUAAAAACCUAUGGCUACAAACAACGAAUCAUGGGCACGAGGCCGUAAAACUCCAGCUCGGCGAUCUUGUCCCCUUCGGAUGAUCCUUCCAUGCCGAGCUGAUUGUCAUCUUCUACUUUCUGCACAUUGUCUUGCAACGACGAGUUUUUCUUACCUCGCAUUCCGAGAAAAGCCCUGCUAUUGGGUGUUCGCUUGUCAUAACCGGCCAAACGCUGAAGGAGAACUAGUUUCAUCGAGAUUGGAAGUCCAGAAAAGACUAUAGCUUCUUUUGGCAUCGGUAGGAUCGGAUCUGCAACUUUUGUCGCCGGAUUCUUAUCGGAUGAUUGUUCCGCUUGCUGCUGAGAAUUUCUCCAGGAGCGGAGAACGAGUCCUCGCGUUUGGCGGGCCAUUAUUUCGUCAUCAUCAGUUGGCACCUCAGCUGCAGAAGCUCGGCAAUAAGCGAACACCAUCAUUAGGACACCCAUUGCCAACCACCAUCUUUCAGCUGAUCCUCUUCUAAACCAGACGAGAGAAAUCAGGUGUUGUAAAGCAAACAGGUGUCUGUUUACGAAAACCUGCAGCAGGAAACUUACACAACUAUAGACG